GACGAACGCUGGCGGCGUGCUUAACACAUGCAAGUCGAACGGUGAUACUCCAGCUUUCUUGAUUUGAUCAGUGGCGAACGGGUGAGUAACACGUGAGCAACCUGCCCCAGACUCUCUAAUAUGCCCUCGAAACGGCGUCUAAUACUGGAUACGAUACUUGCCCGCAUGUGCUUGGUUUGUAAAGUUGUUCGGUUUGGGAUGGUCUCGCGGGCUAUCCGCUUGUUUGUGAGGUAAUGGCUGACCAAGGCUACGACGGGUAGCCUGCCUGAGAGGGCGAACGGGCACAAUGGGACUGAGACAGGGACCAGAAUCAAACGGGAGGCAACAGGGGGGAAUAUUGCAGAAUGGGGGAAAGCCAGAGGCAAAGACGUCGGGAGAGGGAAGACGGGCUUCGGGUGAAAAACCAAUGUCAGAAGGGAAGAAGAGAAAGUGACGGUACCUGCAGAAGAAGCACCGGCUAACUACGUG
rnacentral:rRNA from 1 species